rnacentral:tRNA from 12 species
UCCUCUGUAGUUCAGUCGGUAGAACAGCGGACUGUUAAUCCGUAUGUCACUGGUUCGAGUCCAGUCAGAGGAGCCA